GAAAUGCGAUAAGUAAUGUGAAUUGCAGAAUUCAGUGAGUCAUCGAAUCUUUGAACGCACAUUGCGCCCGCCAGUAUUCUGGCGGGCAUGCCUGUUCGAGCGUCAUUACAACCCUCAGGCCCCCGGGCCUGGCGUUGGGGAUCGGCGGAAGCCCCCUGCGGGCACAACGCCGUCCCCCAAAUACAGUGGCGGUCCCGCCGCAGCUUCCAUUGCGUAGUAGCUAACACCUCGCAACUGGAGAGCGGCGCGGCCACGCCGUAAAACACCCAACUUCUGAAUGUUGACCUCGAAUCAGGUAGGAAUACCCGCUGAACUUAAGC
rnacentral:misc_RNA from 1 species